CCUUUACCAGAUGUUGGCUGGGCACGUUAUUAAUAGUUUUUAACGUGUUUACGUUACGGCUUCCAAAAAUCUUAGUGAGUUUUCUCUGCGCCCUCCCUCUUAGCGCCGCCUUUCCAUGCCCACCGUCCGUGACUGUCCCCCUAUCUAGCUUACUCCAAAGAAGCUCCGGAGAGGCCAGGCUGGGCAGAGUGAGAGUGCUUUUACGUUUCUCUGACGCCGGUCUGCGAUUGUCCCCAGCCUUGUCUAAUUUGACUUUACCGGUUCGUCUUGGGCACAGACCGCUCUCUGAGGCUGCACAGCGCCACGGCUGGGCUGUCCUGUGUUUUGCUGUUGAAUUGGAAACCACCUGACUCUGUAUACACACUUGACUGACCUGUUGGACACUUCAGUUUGUCAGGUGCAGCUAUCAUCCUGAUGUGGUACAGCUUAUGGAAGCUUUGUUCAUUGGAAAUUUUGUGUUUGCUACCGGGAGGGGUGAAGAGUCUGGACUUCAGAGACAGAUACCCAAGUUUCAACACCUGACUCUUGUUUAUCUCCAGCUGUGAGACUUAAGGCAAGUUACUUUGCUCUGGUUUUUUCUUUAUAACGAAGAUAAUUAUAAUAUCUAUCCUAUAGGGUUCUGGUGAGAACCAAAUGAACAAAUGAACUUAAGUGUAAAGCACUUAAGACAGUGAUUUGCAUAAGGAGAGUGCUAUGUGUCAUUUAUUAUUUUUUACCUGUGUUCAUUCAUAAUCAUUUGGCCUGAAGUAUCUCCCAUUUCUAACCUCUCAACAAUUUGCCCUUCAAGACUCUACUCAGAUGCUGUCUCCAGUAUUAAGUCUUUCUAAACUUACUCCCUUUAUCCCAGUAGUUUGUUAUUCCACCCCCUUCCUAUUUAUGCCUAUAUGUUAUUAGAUUUGUACUUACAUUAUGCCAUCCAUCAUAUUGUGUUUAUAAAUAGUGUUUUUUUUCCCUCUAGGGGAUACUGUUGCUCCUUGAGCGAAAAAAACAAAAGUCUCACUAUGUGGCAUAAUAUAGAGAGAAGUAUCUGAAUUCCUAGAAACCUAGGUUCAAAUUAAUUGAAGUGUGAAGAAGGCCAGAUUACCUAAUGUCUGCAAGCCUUAGUUUACUCAUCUUUCAAUUAGAUGAAUAAUUGCAACUUUUUAUGGUUUUGUCAAUAUUAUCCAUCAUUGUGAUAUUAGUUCUACCCCCUUGAUAUUUUGACAAAUUUUAUAGCCAUUUCCUUUAUUGUUUGUAUAUAUUAAUUAGCAACCAAGCAUGGGAGUUUAGAGAGGUUGGGCAAAAAGGAAACAGUGAGGAUUUCUUCAAUAAUGAGAAAUAUUAACAUAAUAUAGUUUCCCCCUAAAUAUUUGAAAUCAUACAGUUUCUCUGAGGACAUUUUAUGCAUUUCUUUGAUUAUAUGACAUACCUUUGCUCUUUGCUUAGUUGAACCAUCAGUAAUAUUCUGGGAAUCUUUUCCCACACAUGUUUCCUCAAAGUAAAACUCUUCAUGAACCAAUAUUUCAGAUGAAUAAUUGUGGAUUAUCUUAAAUCCUAGAGGUUUUGAAAUUUCAUGAUUUAAUAGUUUUAGAGGGAUUCUUUUGGGAGUUAAUUUUCUUAAACCCUACUCAAUGCAAUAUUUUUCUUUAUGCCAUUUUCUGUAAAGGCUGUUCUUAGAAAAUCAGUUAAGACUUCUGCUCAGUGCAAUUGUCCAUGAACAUAGCCUCAAACAUUAUCUAUGUUCUUUCAUCAAGUAUCCUUUAGCUGGAGCAAGAGAGAGUUAGUGUAUAAUAUUGCUUGCAUCUUUCAGAUAAGGAAAUUAAAGGAUGAGGAAAUUUAAAGUGGACUGAAGAAAGAAAUAUAUAACAACUUCAUGUCUUUUUGCCUGCUAAUACUCGCUCAGUAGGUGGAAGAUUUUUUUCCUCAGCUUUAUGCUACAUUUUUUCCCAUAAAAUAUUCCCCUCCAUCUCCAUAUAUUAUGGAGAUAAUUCAAUGGUAAACUAUAAAUAAAAAUAAUAUUUUGGGAUAUAUUUUUCUAUUUCAGCUAUUGUUUUCCCACUUUAAAAACUUAAUUUGACAGCUUUGACAACCUGCCUUUAGAAAUAACAAAAUAGAAGAGCAACGCAAAUAAGUAUUGCUGUUGCAUUAGUCAAGGUCCUCCAGAGAAACAGAAUGAAUAGGAUACCUAUACCUAUACCGCUCUCUCUCUCUCUCUUUCUCUGUCUUUAUAAUAAUAUUUAUUAUAGGAGUUAGCUCACAUUAUUUUGGAAGUCAAGAAGUUCCAUGGUCUGCCAUCUGCAAGCUGGAGAACUUAGAAAGCUGGCGAUGCAAUUCAGAACAAGUUCAAAGGCCCAAGGACCAGAGGAGCUGAUGUUUGAGGGCAAGAGAAGGUGGAUGUCAUAGUCAAAGCAAACAGUAUAUUUGCUCUCCCUCUGUCUUUUUAUUCUAUCCACGCCCUUUAAUUUAGACUAACUAGAAAUGACCUAUGAAAUGACAAAUACAUAUAAUCGAUGGUAAUAUAAAGCAUAGUUAUAUACAAUUAACUCCAAAUGAUAUACAGUGAAGUUCUGCUAUUAAUUACUAAUUCGUAUGAGUUGAAAUUAUUGAAAACUUUCAAUCAAGUGUUUGUUUUACCUUUUUCUUUUACAAUUACCAAUCUUAAAUAAAAUAAAAUAAGAUAAAGUAAAAUCUCCAGUCUUUACUUCCAUGAUUUUUUACAGUUCAAUUUCAAAACAAUAUAUUAUCACUUAUCUGUUGCAUUGUUUAAGAUUAAGUUGGCUGUACCUAAAUGACUAACAGAUUCCCCCAAAUAGUGGUUUAAAUAAGAUAGAAAUUCUUUCUCUUUCAUGUAAAAGAAGUCUGGAGUAAGGCAAUUCACUAUUAUCUGGUGACUCUUAUUUUCAUCAGAAAUGCUAGUUUCUAUAUCAUGCUCUUCAUUCUCAGAGUCUGGCUUCCAUGCUGCAGAUUUCCUUGUGGUCUGAGAUGGCUUCUGGGACUCUAGCCUUCACAUCCAUAUCUCAAGCAGCACACAAUUAAAAAACAGAACAUUGCCACGCUGUUAAACUAGGGUUUUAUAAUUAAGGGAGAAUGGAAUAAUGGAUAUUGAAUGGAACCAAAAGGAUUUGUAUCCCUCUACAUAAUCUGCAAAAUGCAGGCUGCUCAUCAAUUAUUAUAACCGAAAGCUUAUUUCUUUUAUUUGUGUUGUGCUGUGGCUUUGAGCAAUGUCUGUGUAUUUUUCACUCAACUGCCUUUGUGUUUUGUCUCUGAAGUGUAGGGAUUUUUAACUGAUUUGCUUUUUGGUAAGAAAAGUAACAUCCUAAUUAAACUGGUGUUGGAAAGAAUCCUUCAUUAUGCAGAAAUGUGGAUACUGUAAUAGUUUCUAUUUGAAGCUUAAAUAUCUUCCUCUGCUGACAUAUUAUUGUAAGCCAUCAAGAAUACUUGAUAAUUGUAAAGACUAUACAGUACUAAUAUUCAGAAAACAAAUACAGGCUAGCCAUGUCAUGUUUUAAAAUGUGACAUUAUAUAUCAUUUACUAUUUGUCAGAUACUUUUUUUAAGUCCUUUGAAAAUUUUGCCUCAUUUGUCUUCCACUCUCAUUCUCUCAAGAGUGUAUAGUGGAGUUUCCCAGAAGCCACAUGACUUGUGAUGCCAUCACUUCUCUGAUGGCUGAAGGAAUGUGUGCUUGUUAUUCCUUCACUUUAAAAAGUUCUGUUUUAAUUUUUUAUGCAGUGGAUAUAAUAUACACAAUCAGCAUCUUUUUGAGGUCCCCUGUAAUAUUUGAAAGUGAAAAAGAGUUCUGACACAAAAAAAUCACUACUAGAACACUUGAAUAAAUUAAAAUUUUGAUUUUCAUAUUCUAUAGUCCAUCCAUCAGUCAAAAUUAAAAAAAAAACAUUUAACUAUGUUCAGAGUAUAUAAUGCUAAGAUGGAAACUAAGAAGUAUGAGGUUAUAGUUCUGUUGAGGUAACCAAAUGUGUGUGUGAGUGUGUGUAUAAGCCAAUGAGCUAUUGGCAUGAUAAUACUAACAAACCACACCAAAACUAGUGGUGUAAAGCAACAUGCACUUACUAUUACACACAGGUCCAUAGAUUGGCUGGCAGUCCUGCUGAUCUUGGUUGGAUUCACUCAUGUACUGCAGUCAGCUGUGGAAUAAUUGCACUGAUGGUACUGGGAAUGCUUCAGAUAAGAUGAGGGGAGAUGCAGCCCUUCUGUACAUGUCUUAUACUAUAAAAGAGUAGUCCAGGUAUGUUCUCAUGUUUAUGGAACAGAUGUACAAGAAUGGAAAGGCUAGGGCAAGCUAGGGAAUAUACUCAAGAAUUUUCUAAAUCUCUGCCUGGUAUCAUGUCUGCUAACCUGGUUUCUGGCCAAAGAAGUCACAUGAGCGAGCUCAGAGUCAGGGACUGACGCACAACACUCCAUCCAUGAUGACAGAGAUAAAAUUGGGAGCAUAAGUACAAACAGUGUGCCACAGUAUAUGUAUACAAGAAGAUAAAGUUUAAAGUUAUAUUCGCACUCCCUGAAGUGCCAGGCCCUGGGGAACAGAGGACACUACACUGCAGGACACUACAUAAAAGCCUUCAUAAGGCUAUUAUCAUUAAGAGUAAGAGAACUAGCUGACUUUCCUAACACAGAAAGCAGAUGGAGAGAUUUAGACAAAAUAAGGAGACAGAGAAAUAUAUCCCAAAUGAAUGAACAGGACCAAACCACAGGAAGAGAUCUAAGUGAGACAGAUAUAAGUAAUAUGCCUGAUAGAGGAUUUAAAGUAAUGAUUAUAAAGAUACUCACUGGAUUUGAGAAAACAAUGGAGGACAUAGUGAAACCCUUAACAAAGAGAUAAGAAAGAACUAAUCAGAAAUUAAAAACACAAUAAAUGAAAUAAAAAAUACACUCGAUGGAAUAAAUAGCAGGCUAAGUGAAAUAGAUGAGUGAAUUAAUUAGCUAUAGACAGGGUAAUGGAAAGUAGCCAAGCUAAGCAAAAAAGGAAAGAAAAUUAUGCAAGUUAAGAAUUGUCUUAGGGAACUCAGUAACUCCAUCAAGUAUAAUAACAUUCA